rnacentral:rRNA from 1 species
GGUUCAGGUCAAAAUAGCCCCAGAUGGUGAAUCUGCGAAUGGCUCAUUAAAUCAGUUAUUGUUUAUUUGAUGGUACCUUACUACAUGGAUAACCGUAGUAAUUCUAGAGCUAAUACAUGCGUCAAGCCCCGACUUUUGCGGAAGGGGUGCAUUUAUUAGAUUCAAACCAUCAGUCCCCGUCUGGGGGUAACUCUGGGCGGACGACUUUUCGAUGGCGAGUCAUAAUAACUGAGCGAAUCGAAUGACUUUACGUCGUCGAUGCUUCAUUCAAAUUUCUGCCCUAUCAGCUUUCGAUGGUAGGAUCUUGGCCUACCAUGGCUAUAACGGGUAACGGGGAAUUAGGGUUCGGUUCCGGAGAGGGAGCUUGAGAAACGGCUACCACAUCUAAGGAUGGCAGCAGGCGCGCAAAUUACCCAAUCCCGACACGGGGAGGUAGUGACAAUAAAUAACAAUGCUGGACUAUUUUAGUCCGGCAAUUGGAAUGAGAGUAAUUUAAAUCAAUUCUCGAGUAGCCAUUGGAGGGCAAGUCUGGUGCCAGCAGCCGCGGUAAUUCCAGCUCCAAUAGCGUAUAUUAAAGUUGUUGCAGUUAAAAAGCUCGUAGUCUGACCCUUGGCCGGCGUUUGAGCGUCCGUGGCGAAAGCCACGCGCAUGCGACGCGCCGUUUGCCACUUGUACUUUGGAGGAGUGCCUCUGUCGGGGGCUUCGCGCCUUCGGCUGGAGGGUUACACGAGUCCAAUAGUUUACUUUGAGAAAAAUAGAGUGUUCAAAGCAGGCAGACCUUCGCCUUGAAUACAUUAGCAUGGGAUAAUGAAAUAGGACAUUGGUUCUAUUUUGUUGGUUUUUUCAGGACCGAUGUAAUGAUUAAUAGGGACAGUUGGGGACAUUCAUAUUCCAUGGCUAGAGGUGAAAUUCUUAGAUUCAUGGAAGAUGAACUACUGCGAAAGCAUUUGUCAAAGAUGUUUUCAUUGAUCAAGAACGAAAGUUAGGGGAGCAAAGACGAUCAGAUACCGUCGUAGUCUUAACCAUAAACGAUGCCGACUAGGGAUCGGUGGGCGAUAGUUUUCAAUGUCUCCAUCGGCACCUCGUGGGAAACCAAGUCUUUGGGUUCCGGGGGGAAUUUGGUCCCAAGGCUGAAACUUAAAGGAAUUGACGGAAGGGCCCCCCAGGAGGGAACUGCGGCUUAUUUGAUCAACCGGGAAACUCCCGGUCCAAAUGGGAAGGAUGACAAAUGAAAACCUUUUUGUAUCCCGAAAGGGG